rnacentral:misc_RNA from 1 species
GCACGAGUCUUUCUUUACCUUCUCAGAGCUCACUCAAGGUCAGCCCAUAACUAUUACUAUUGAGUAGUCAAAAUUAGACAAUGUUAUUGUUGCCUUUUGUCAUACCAAAAAAUAGUUGCAUAGAGGAAACUAGAUUUGAAACUUUCUCUAACCCAGAAAGUGCUGAAGACUAUAGGUAAAGUCCAAUUGUAGAGUUUGAGAUUGCCUCUACCAAAAUGACUCAAGCCAAUUGGGUUUGGCUCACCCUUGAUUAUAUUCUCUUUUAAUUUUUCUGUAGCUCUACAGUGUGGGACUCUAACACUUCCACCUUAAGUGCAAUUGGACUGGACUUAAGGUUUUUAGGCCCAAUUGUCACUUGUAAUGCAUGCGGUGGCCUAUCCAGAGUUUCAC